rnacentral:rRNA from 1 species
UGGGGAAUAUUGCACAAUGGGGGAAACCCUGAUGCAGCGACGCCGCGUGAACGAAGAAGGUAUUCGUAUCGUAAAGUUCUGUCCUAUGGGAAGAUAAUGACAGUACCAUAGAAGAAAGCUCCGGCUAAAUACGUGCCAGCAGCCGCGGUAAUACGUAUGGAGCGAGCGUUGUCCGGAAUUAUUGGGCGUAAAGGGUACGCAGGCGGUUUAAUAAGUCGAAUGUUAAAGAUCGGGGCUCAACCCCGCAAAGCAUUGGAAACUGAUAAACUUGAGUAGUGGAGAGGAAAGUGGAAUUCCUAGUGUAGUGGUGAAAUACGUAGAUAUUAGGGGGAAUACCAGUAGCGAAGGCGACUUUCUGGACACAAACUGACGCUGAGGUACGAAAGCGUGGGGAGCAAACAGG